rnacentral:rRNA from 1 species
UACGGAGGAUCCAAGCGUUAUCCGGAAUCAUUGGGUUUAAAGGGUCCGUAGGCGGUUUUGUAAGUCAGUGGUGAAAGCCCAUCGCUCAACGGUGGAACGGCCACUGAUACUGCAAGACUUGAAUUAUUAGGAAGUAACUAGAAUAUGUAGUGUAGCGGUGAAAUGCUUAGAGAUUACAUGGAAUACCAAUUGCGAAGGCAGGUUACUACUAAUAUAUUGACGCUGAUGGACGAAAGCGUGGGGAGCGAACAGG